GCCCGGGUGGCGGAACCGGUAGACGCAGGCGGCUUAAACCCGCCGAUCCUCCUCGGAGGGUGUGGGGGUUCGACUCCCUCCCCGGGCA
rnacentral:tRNA from 1 species